rnacentral:rRNA from 1 species
UACGGAGGGUGCAAGCGUUAAUCGGAAUUACUGGGCGUAAAGCGCGCGUAGGCGGUUGGGUAAGUCAGAUGUGAAAGCCCCGGGCUUAACCUGGGAACUGCAUGUGAUACUGUCUGACUCGAGUAUGGGAGAGGGGGGUGGAAUUCCCGGAGUAGCGGUGAAAUGCGUAGAUAUCGGGAGGAACACCAGGGGCGAAGGCGGCCCCCUGGACCAAUACUGACGCUGAGGUGCGAAAGCGUGGGGAGCAAACAGG